GUACUCCAGAGUAUCUCCUGCAUACACAGCUCUACAUGGUUCAGUACUCCAGAGUAUCUCCUGCAUACACAGCUCUACAUGGUUCAGUACUCCAGAGUAUCUCCUGCAUACACAGCUCUACAUGGUUCAGUACUCCAGAGCAUCUCCUGCAUACACAGCUCUACAGGGUUGAGUACGGGAAGACCUCUAGAUAAUGACCUGUGGACUAUGCAGAAUCUAGACAGUCCGUUGCCUUUUAAUCUUACUUCACUGAGUGCCUUUAUAAAAUGUCAAGUUGAGAAUUUACAGUUACUGGCCUUGUUCUGCAUGGUAUGCAAAUGAGGUGGUAGCAGUUUUCUGGCCUUGUUCUGCAUGGUAUGCAAAUGAGGUGGUAGCAGUUACUGGCCUUGUUCUGCGUGGUAUGCAAAUGAGGUGGUAGCAGUUACUGGCCUUGUUCUGCAUGGUAUGCAAAUGAGGUGGUAGCAGUUACUGGCCUUGUUCUGCAUGGUAUGCAAAUGAGGUGGUAACAGUUACUGGCCUUGUUCUGUAUGGUAUGCAAAUGAGGUGGUAACAGUUUUAACUUUUUCUAUCUGUAUUAUCAUGUCAGAGAAUUACAUGACCUUUACAUGACCUUUACACGUGUGUUAAUUAAAGGGCCUUUUCUAAACAUUUGAUUAUUAAUGUUCAAUAACA